CCCAGUAACGGCGAGUGAAGCGGCAACAGCUCAAAUUUGAAAUCUGGCCCCCCCCGCGGGGGCCCGAGUUGUACUUUGGAGAGGAUGCUUUGGGCGCGGCGCCGGCCGAGUUCCCUGGAACGGGACGCCAGAGAGGGUGAGAGCCCCGUACGGCCGGACGCCCAGCCCGUGCAAAGCUCCUUCGACGAGUCGAGUAGUUUGGGAAUGCUGCUCAAAACGGGAGGUAAAUUUCUUCUAAAGCUAAAUACCGGCCAGAGACCGAUAGCGCACAAGUAGAGUGAUCGAAAGAUGAAAAGCACUUUGAAAAGAGGGUUAAACAGCACGUGAAAUUGUUGAAAGGGAAGCGCCUGGGGCCAGACGUGCGCCCCGCGGACCACCCGGCGCCCCGCGCGCCGGGGCACGCCGCGGGCGCGCAGGGCCAGCAUCGGCUCCCCGCC
rnacentral:rRNA from 1 species